rnacentral:lncRNA from 1 species
GUUGAUGAAGCUCUGCGAGACAGCGAGGCAGGGGAUCGCGGGAGGAUGGACGCGCUGUCCUUUGAUGAUCUGUGAGGGAUAUCCUGCUAGUUGUUAACUCGUAUAUUUGGUCAAGUUCUAUGCGUGCGGUUUUGCUGUAUUACACACUGCUUUUCCCUGCUCUGCUUCGAUUAAUAGCUUUCAGGCUAUGGCAGUCGGUUCGAUGGCGAGCGGCUGUUCCAUAUAUGAGAGCUGGUAGUCUGCGAGAGCAUGUUGGCGCACCCAGUACUUCCUAUGUUUUUGUGUUGACAAAACUUUGUGGUACUGCUGUAUUUCCGUUCGAAGUAAUGGAAAGGGGUGUUAUGCUCGG